rnacentral:lncRNA from 1 species
UUUUUCUUUGUCGUCGCUUAGACUAAAAUAUCCAGUCCUUCUCCAAAAGAAGACAUUAUCUGUUGUGAUGGCCAUGAAACUAAGAACAACUGUAAUAAUCAUCAUGGCUUUGGUGUGGCUGCAAGCAGAAGUUGUUGACGGGUGCACUCCAAACGAUGACUGGUGUGGCCAUCUCGUUGCACCGUGUUGCAGUAAUUCGGUCUGCGUGUGGGUUCCUAAUCUUGGUAAAAAAUGCAAGGACAAAGGGGACCUCUGCUCUAGAGGGCCUGGAGGUGUACAGAAUUGUCUACACCCUGCAGGGUAACGUAAAAGGAGAUUAUCAAUCAUGGUGUGGAAUUGACGAGGACUUCAAAGUGUUUCAGGGAUAUAAGCUGUCACGACAACGCUUAAAUGCCGAGUGAAUUGUCUACAAAAUUCUGAAACUAUAAAUAUUGUUCUACAUAUGAUUGAUCAGUAAAUUGAA